AUGAAAAGCACUUUGAAAAGAGGGUGAAAAGAACCUGAAACCGUCACGGGGGAAGCGGAUUGCGUUGGCCUGGUGGGCGCUUGUGUGUUCAGCCUUCGGGUGCAUUGGCACAGGUGCUUAUCCGCCGUGGGUUUUCGGGAGUCGAAUUUGGACUCCUGGAGGCUGAGGGCUCCCUUCGGGUGAGGACGGCGGAGUGACGACGCGAUACGACCCGUCUUGAAACACGGACCAAGGAGUCUAGCGCGAUUGCGAGUCGGAGGGUGCAAGCCCGUGGGCGUAGUGAAAGCGAGUGUAAAAACGAGCAGUUUGAGGCGGCAUAAGAUCGUUGAUCUUAAGACUGACCUAGAGCAGUUGCGCUGGGACCCGAAAGAUGGUGAACUAUGCCGGAGUAGGGCAAAGCCAGAGGAAACUCUGGUGGAGGCUCGUAGCGGUGCUGACGUGCAAAUCGCUCGUCCAACUUGGGUAUAGGGGCGAAAGACUAAUCGAACCAUCUAGUAGCUGGUUCCCUCCGAAGUUUCUCUCAGGAUAGCGGGCCGACAAGUUGUUUUGUGC
rnacentral:rRNA from 1 species